UCUCGAUUGGUCUAGUGGUCAGGAUACCUGCUUGUCAUUCGAACCUUAUGUUCGCAGGUGGCCGGGGUUCGAUUCCCCGAUCGAGAG